ensembl:lncRNA
CAUCUGUAUACAGAGAUAGUUUUACUUCUUCCUCUCCAAUCUGGAUACUUUCUAUCUGUUUAUGUCCUGGGUGGCUGUCAACCUGGGCUAGUUUUUGCUCUUGGAGGCUACCCACAUUUCUCAUUAUAUUUUUCAUGUGACCCAACUAUUACACUUUGGGUUUUCUAACUUCUCUUUGGAAAAGUGCAAGACCUGCCAGGAAAGAGGGAUGCUGCCCUCAGCGAUGCUGCCUGCAGAGGUUCGGGUGGAACGGGGGUGAGUCCCUCCUCGUCUGCUGCUGAUCACUGGCGCUCCUGGGUGUGGCUGAGUCCUCCCAGUCUCGUGUCGCCUUCUCUGCGAGCCCACGUCUCCCCCAUUCUGUGUCUUUCAAGGACUCUUGUCACUGGAUUAAGGCUGCCCAGAUAAUCCAGUACCAUGUCCUCUGAAGACCCUCAACUGAACUACACUCAGAAGAGACGCUUUUCCAGAGUUAUGCUGUCCUGUUCCAGGCAUUAGGGUGGUACCUGCAGAGGCCCUCUGCGCAGAACACAGCAUGGUGUGCACAGCAGUGGAACCUGAGCCGGAGACAGGGUGAAGUCCCACAGACCACAGCUCGCUCACGGCUACCCAAAGCAGCUGCCCUGACACCACGUAGAGUGUGGCCACCAACCCAGACAAGGAGACCUUCUCCAAGACGGUGCCGAGGAUGUCCUGGUGGAGCUCGGGAGUCCAGCUGCCCCUCCCUCACUAGCCUGUGCCCAGCAUUGCCGGAAAACCACAGAAGCUGACCCCAGAGCUGGCCAAGGUGUCCUCCAAAUCCAGAGGCACCCGGGGGCAGGGGCCUAUUGUGCUCUAGCGGGGCCAUCGGUGCUACCCUCACAGGGCCCGGGCAAGAGCACCCUCUGCCCACCCAAGCCACCCCAGCUCCAGGUGGAGAGUGCCCACCCAGCCUCACUAACAUCCGUGCCACUGGAGGUCUUUCUCCAGAUGAAGAGAACCUGGUCUCCGGCCACACCCCACCUGACCUACAGCAUCUCCCCACCAGGGUCUCCUGUUCCUGAAACAAGAGCCGCACUGAGCCAAACCUCACACCUGCCCCUGGAGCGGGGGUCCUGCUCACUUUCUGGGAGAGCCGGCGAUGAAUGUCACCGAAUGUCCCUGCUCACUGCCAGGGCCCUUGAGGGAAUUAGGACGAGUGUGGAGCUGACCCCUCGUGGGUCUCCUACCCCAGGGCAGGGUCAGCUCGAUCCCUUCAGGUGCUGCCACUUCCGAGGGUAGCCGGUAGCCUUCCCUCCUCCUGGGUCUGGCUGAGCCUCACGCUGCCCGGGAGGCCCUCAUAUGGCUGCUGCAGAGUCAACACCAGAAAAGAAACAGCUCUGAGCUCCACCUCACUCUUCAAGCUGAGAAACGAGUCCCGAGAGUCUUGGGGUCCAGAGGCUCAGUGGGGCCCAGGACACGAAUGCACCUCUCCUGGAAGCAGCCUUUCUGCGAUGGACAUGGACUUGGAGGAGAGGCUGAGGACAGAGAAGAGACAGGAGAGACUGGACGGGACCAGUGCCCAUGGGGACCCUGAGACCAGAAGCUACCCAGCCCGCGGGCACUGCGUGCGGGGUCACACGUCC